rnacentral:piRNA from 1 species
UCUCCUCUCAAAGGGUUGAAAACACAC